UCGAUACUCCCUCUGCCCCGAAUUACUUGUCACAGAAAUGGAUGUAUCUAGACGUAUUUUAGUUCUAGAUACAUCCAUUUCUAUCCAUUUCCGUGACAAGUAAUUCCGGACGGAGGUAUGUAAGCA
rfam:Triticum aestivum genome assembly, contig: Triticum_aestivum_CS42_TGACv1_scaffold_306656_4AS